CUCUCUCAACAAUUGGACGUUUGCGCUGGACCCGAUCCUAUAGCUGUUCAGCAAAUCAGCAGUCUGUUCGCUACCUCACCCAGCCUGUGUUGAUUGACAGUUUAAUGGUCCAAUCAGAGUGCCGAGUGUGCGUUUGAUUAGCUAAUCUGUUGCAGUUUUUUUUGCAAGGGCGAUGCUGCGGCUACUGUCUCUGCGUGUAGAUUAAUCCACGUAGACUCUGUGCCGCAAAAUGAGUGAAAAAACAUUACAAAACCUGGACAGAUAAUUUCAAGUUGUCAGUCAAAGUCGAGUCCCGAGUCUUGAGAGUCCAAGUGAAGUCUGAAGUUAUUUUAUUUUCUAUCAAGUGAAGUCUCAAGUCAUAAAAUGUGUUGCUCCAGUCCAAGUCAUGUGACUCGGGUCCACAACUCUGGAAUGCUGAUGAUAUCCAUGCCCUGUCGAUGGACACUAUACUUCAGGACGCAGAGAAGAUCACCAGCUCAGCUCAUCAAACUGUCCAAUCUCUGGAGGGGACAACAGACACUGCUCAAUCUGUGCUUGAUUUGGCCCAAGUGGCACCCAGCCAAACGGACUAACGUUAUAAUGCAUAAAUCCUUUAGCUAUUGUUAUUUUUAAAUUGUGUGUGUAUUUCAUACAAUCUUGCAGGUUGUUAUGAUAUUAUUGGUUUGUAACAAACAUACAAAUCUGUAAUCAUAUCCUGUCCCUCAGGGCUACAAUGAUAAACAUCAAACUCUGUUCUCUUAUACGCUGAACUGAUGGACAGUGGACCAGCAGCACUCAGUAUGUAACCUGACACCCCUGGAGGUGUUGAUGGUAAUUCUGUAGAACAAGAAAGAAAACAAAAACAAUGUAGAAAACUUCAGUGAACUAUUUACAGAUAAAACAUAAUCCAUAUAAGUAGGAGCAGAUCAGCCUAUAGUAUUUGGUAUUUUAUUAGGAUCCCCAUUAGCUGUUUCAAAAGCAGAAGCUACUCUUCCUGGGGUCCACACAAAACAUGAAACAUGACAUAAUACAAAACAUUAAUAGACAACAGCUCAAGGACAGAACUACAUGAAUAAAAUAAAAAUGUUAAUACAAAAGGCACAAGUAGCCUACAUAUCAAUACAUACACACAAACUAUCUAGGUCAAAUAGUGGAG
rnacentral:lncRNA from 1 species